rnacentral:rRNA from 1 species
AGAGUUUGAUCCUGGCUCAGAACGAACGCUGGCGGCAGGCUUAACACAUGCAAGUUGAACGUGAUUUGUUUGGUGCUUGCACCGAGCAAUGAAAGUAGCGCACUGGUGAGUAACACGUGGGAACGUACCUUUUGGUGGGGAACAACAGUUGGAAACGACUGCUAAUACCGCAUAAGCCCUGAGGGGGAAAGAUUUAUCGCCGAAAGAACGGCCCGCGGAAGAUUAGGUAGUUGGUGGGGUAACGGCCUACCAAGCCGACGAUCUAUAGCUGGUCUGAGAGGACGAUCAGCCACAUUGGAACUGAGACACGGUCCAAACUCCUACGGGAGGCAGCAGUGAGGAAUAUUGGGCAAUGGAGGCAACUCUGACCCAGCCAUGCCGCGUGAGUGAAGAAGGUUUUCGGAUUGUAAAGCUCUUUCGGGUGUGACGAUGAUGACGGUAGCACCUAAAGAAGCCCCGGCUAACUUCGUGCCAGCAGCCGCGGUAAUACGAAGGGGGCAAGCGUUGUUCGGAAUUACUGGGCGUAAAGGGAGUGUAGGCGGUUAUGUAAGAUAGUGGUGAAAUCCCAGAGCUUAACUUUGGAAUUGCCAUUAUGACUAUGUGGCUAGAAUUACAGAGAGGAUAGUGGAAUACCCAGUGUAGAGGUGAAAUUCGUAGAUAUUGGGUAGAACACCAGUGGCGAAGGCGACUAUCUGGCUGUAUAUUGACGCUGAGGCUCGAAAGCAUGGGGAUCAAACAGGAUUAGAUACCCUGGUAGUCCAUGCUGUAAACGAUGAGUGCUUGUUGUCGGUAUUGUAUCGGUGACGAAGUUAACGCGUUAAGCACUC